AUUGCCUCAGUAACGGCGAGUGAAGCGGCAACAGCUCAAAUUUGAAAUCUGGCCCCCUCGGGGGGCCCGAGUUGUAAUUUGCAGAUUGUGCUUUUGGCGAGGCGCCUUCCGAGUUCCCUGGAACGGGACGCCACAGAGGGUGAGAGCCCCGUCUGGUCGGUCGCCGAGCCUCUGUAAAGCACCUUCGACGAGUCGAGUAGUUUGGGAAUGCUGCUCAAAAUGGGAGGUAUAUGUCUUCUAAAGCUAAAUACCGGCCAGAGACCGAUAGCGCACAAGUAGAGUGAUCGAAAGAUGAAAAGCACCUUGAAAAGGGGGUUAAACAGUACGUGAAAUUGUUGAAAGGGAAGCGCUCGCGACCAGACUUGGGCCCGGCGGAUCACCCAGCGUUCUCGCUGGGGCAUUCCGCCUCGUCCCAGGCCAGCAUCGGUUCGCGCCGGGGGACAAAGGCGGCGGGAACGUGGCUCCCCCGGGAGUGUUAUAGCCCGCCGCGCAAUGCCCUGGGGCGGACCGAGGAUUCGCGCAUCUGCAUGGAUGCUGGCGUAAUGGUCACCAGCGACCCGUCUUGAAACACGGACCAAGGAGUCGUCUUCGUAUGCGAGUGUUCGGGUGUCAAACCCCUACGCGUAAUGAAAGUGAACGCAGGUGAGAGCUUCGGCGCAUCAUCGACCGAUCCUGAUGUUCUCGGAUGGAUUUGAGUAGGAGCAUACGGGGCCGGACCCGAAAGAAGGUGAACUAUGCCUGUGUAGGGUGAAGCCAGAGGAAACUCUGGUGGAGGCUCGCAGCGGUUCUGACGUGCAAAUCGAUCGUCAAACAUGGGCAUGGGGGCGAAAGACUA
rnacentral:rRNA from 1 species